rnacentral:rRNA from 1 species
GACGAACGCUGGCGGCGUGCCUAAUACAUGCAAGUUGAGCGAUGAAGAUUGGUGCUUGCACCAAUUUGAAGAGCAGCGAACGGGUGAGUAACGCGUGGGGAAUCUGCCUUUGAGCGGGGGACAACAUUUGGAAACGAAUGCUAAUACCGCAUAACAACUUUAAACAUAAGUUUUAAGUUUGAAAGAUGCAAUUGCAUCACUCAAAGAUGAUCCCGCGUUGUAUUAGCUAGUUGGUGAGGUAAAGGCUCACCAAGGCGAUGAUACAUAGCCGACCUGAGAGGGUGAUCGGCCACAUUGGGACUGAGACACGGCCCAAACUCAUACGGGAGGCAGCAGUAGGGAAUCUUCGGCAAUGGACGAAAGUCUGACCGAGCAACGCCGCGUGAGUGAAGAAGGUUUUCGGAUCGUAAAACUCUGUUGGUAGAGAAGAACGUUGGUGAGAGUGGAAAGCUCAUCAAGUGACGGUAACUACCCAGAAAGGGACGGCUAACUACGUG